rnacentral:lncRNA from 1 species
UCAUUGAUAGAUUGAAUUACUUAUUUUAGACCAUUUUUAAUAAUGAACUUAUGUUUUAAACACUAAAACAAGAGAAUAUGUGUAUUUUUAUGAUUAUAUUUAUUAACUUAUAUUGUAAUGUAUUGAUAUUUGAGUUUUUAUUAAUCUAAUAUUCUAAAAUAUAAUAUAUUCAUAAUAUAAUAUGUUGUUUUAAAAUAAUGAUCAUGAACUAAAAAAUAAAGAAAAUGAAAGUUUAUAAAGACAAAGAUGGGUUAUAGUU